CCUACGGGGUGCAGCAGUGAGGAAUAUUGGUCAAUGGGCGCGAGCCUGAACCAGCCAAGUAGCGUGAAGGAUGACUGCCCUACGGGUUGUAAACUUCUUUUAUAAAGGAAUAAAGUGAGGCACGUGUGCCUUUUUGUAUGUACUUUAUGAAUAAGGAUCGGCUAACUCCGUGCCAGCAGCCGCGGUAAUACGGAGGAUCCGAGCGUUAUCCGGAUUUAUUGGGUUUAAAGGGAGCGUAGAUGGGUUGUUAAGUCGGCUGUGAAAGUUUGCGGCUCAACCGUAAAAUUGCAAUUGAUACUGGCAGCCUUGAGUACAGUGGAGGUAGGCGGAAUUCGUGGUGUAGCGGUGAAAUGCUUAGAUAUCACGAAGAACUCCGAUUGCGAAGGCAGCUUACUAAACUGCCACUGACAUUGAUGCUCGAAAGUGUGGGUAUCAAACAGGAUUAGAUACCCCAGGAGUC
rnacentral:rRNA from 1 species